AACGAACGUUGGCGGCGUGGAUGAGGCAUGCAAGUCGAACGCGAAAGCCGCAAGGCGAGUAAAGUGGCGGACGGGCGAGUAACACGUAAUCAAGCUACCUGUGAGACGGGGAUAACUUCGGGAAACCGAAGCUAAGACCCGAUGGCCUUAGGAGACCGCAUGGUUUCCUAAGUAAAUGGGCGGGACCUUUCGGGGUCGCCUGCUCGCAGAGGUGAUUGCGGCCCAUCAGCUAGUUGGUAGGGUAAUGGCCUACCAAGGCAACGACGGGUAGCCGGCCUUAGAGGGUGGUCGGCCGCACUGGGACUGAGACACUGCCCAGACUCCUACGGGAGGCUGCAGUCGAGAAUCUUCCGCAAUGGGCGAAAGCCUGACGGAGCGACGCCGCGUGGAGGAUGAAGGCCUC
rnacentral:rRNA from 1 species